GCUAUAUAGGCAAGGCUCAACUGGAAGCUGACCUAAAUCUUGGCGAAGUGGCCUGUAAUUCUCCCUGGGAUAUGAUAAGAUAAGUGGUCUUGUGAGGGCUGUUUCUUUCGGUCUCCCUAUCUUGUGGGAGGCUGCCAAAAGACAGUUCUCAUCCACCUUCCUUAUUCUGCUGAGGCAUGGGAUUUUCUAUCUUGCUGCUUCUCUUAUGGUGCAACUUCAGGCUAUAGAACCACUUUGACAUAGUAUAGGAAUAGUUCUUCCAUGACAGAGUAACCCACUGCUCAUGCCAUCUGUCAUCUGAAGCCUCUGGUUCACUGUAAUCCUGUGGAACUAAGGAUGUGGGGAGCUGACGCCAUGAUAUUCUUG
rnacentral:lncRNA from 10 species